rnacentral:lncRNA from 1 species
CGGUAAAUAAUUUUUGUAGCAUAAAAACUAAAUAAAUUCAAACAUACUGUAAUACAGAUAGCCAAAGUAUAAAAUUUAAUUUACAGUGACAUGUGGACCCACGAACGACUAAAAGUAUCAAAAGUGGUAAACCUACAGUUUUUUAGGAUGCAAGUCCAACUGUAGCCCUCAACAAAGUUAGCUAUCUACCGACUAUCCCGAGCCUGAAAUGGGUGGAAAGAAGGGUAAUGACAUUAUAUAAUCCCAGUGAGUAAACAAAUACCAUAAAAAAUAUCUAAAGCUUAGUAAAUGGAGACAGAUUAAAAUAGAUCAUUAUAUUGUAAUUCAUCACCUUUCAAAUCAUUUCAACCAAAUAAAAUCAAUUCAUAUAAAUUGAGUAAUCAACAUGGCUUAUGAAUUUCUUAAAACUUUGGCUCAUGCCAAAAUCAUUCUCAUACUCAGUUAUCAGGGAUACCUUGGCCUGGGGUUAUCCCAACCAAGUCCUCCAAGACUGUUAAAAAGUCAUGUAUGCAUAAAUCAUGUUUUUAUUUUGAAAACAUAGUCGUUUCUUGGCGUUGGCUGAGUGCACCCUCACGUGGUGGUUUGGCAUGAAGUGAACUCUAAAGUUGUACCUCAGGAGUUACCCUACAUGCCUCUUAGACUGAGGUAAGAAUAUAGCGGGGUUACCGUGCCCCUCUAAUAGGCUGGUCCACGGAACCCGCCUACUGUAGCAAGCUAAACCCACCAAUUCAAUAAAAUCUCAACCGCAUGACAUGGCAAUUAUAUCACAAUCCAGCCUCUCAAGGCUAAAUACACAGUUCAUAUAUUUCAACACAAAUACCAAUUCAGCCAUUCAUGCAAAUAUUGUCAGAAGCCAUUCGAUUCAAACCAUGAAUUUACAACACAUGAAAAUAGUCUUCAAUUACUCUAUUUUCAAACCAUCAUUUCAUUUCAAAAUAAUGUUAUAAAAUCAUUUCAUUAAAUCACAUUUUAAUUACAAAACAGAAAGAUUUACCAUGUAACUCAUUUUCCAUAAAAUCAAAAAAUCGGAUAAAAAUCACUUUAGAUAAUUAAAAUGAUAGUAAGAUUACUCACUAUUUCGGGAGUCGAAUUCCAAGUACUCCGAUUCUUGAUCCUCGGGUACUAUCUCUUGACUUUUGCUAAAAUGCUCACCACCUAGACAUAAUGCACAAUAAGCCAUUUACUACAUUUGUGCUAAAUUGUUAUAAAACCAAUUUAGGCUCUAUACUAAUGUAUGAAAUGGGAUGUAAAUUGUUUGGAUUAUCGUCUAAACACGGUGUUCUACACAAAUUUAAUUGUGUACCUAAAUAAAACGGUAUUGGCCUAAUUCUAUUUAUCACUCGAUUAAUUGGCCAAUAUGUCCAAUUCAACUCCAAACAAUUCCAUUGUUAUCCCAAUACUCCAAAUCAUCAAACACAAAUUAAAUAACUUGAAAUAUGACAAAAUCAUCCUCACAUUUUCUCUUGGAAAAUUCGGCCAUGGUGGGUGCAUCAACACUAUAAUUUUUCAAGCUUGAUUCUCACACCAUAAAUCACUAAUUUCUAACCAAAUCACUUGAAGUAAAAUCAAAAUUAUCAUCAAUAUUCUACAUGGAGAAUUUGGCCAAUGAUGGGUGAUGGGAGGAAGUGAAUUUUUCUUGUUGGCUUUUCAUACUACACAUCACUAACUAACUAAAAAUACUAAAAUACCUUAAAAUCUAACCAAAACAACCAUCAAAAUCUCUCUUUAAGUGUUCGGCCAGCAAGAGACCCAUCAUGAAAUCAUGUGAUUCUACCAUGGAAAAUAAGAAAAAAUGCUUAAGAAAGAGAGCUCUCAAGCUUAAUUGAAAAAUCUUACCUUUUUUUUUCACUUAUUUCCUUGAAUUUUCACACUUUUCCCCUGAAUUUUUCCACCUAGGGUUUUGUUCUUCCUUGUCUUCCUUUGUUCUUGCUUUGGC